GCGGACGGGUGCGUAACACGUAUGAAUCUGCUCGGUAUUGGGGGAUAGCCCGGAGAAAUUCUGAUUAUUACCGCAUACGCCCUAAUGGGGAAAGCAUGGGAUCUUCUCACCUAGCUUGCGCUAUCGGAUGAGCCUGCGACGGAUUAGCUAGUUGGUGGGGUGAAGGCCCACGUGAGGAACUCAUCCGUAGCUGGUCUGAAAGAUUGAACACUCAGACUGGGACAGAUACACGGCACACACUCCUACGGGAGGCAUGAGUGUGGAUGUUUGCAGGAUGAGAGAAUGUCUGAUGCAUGCCUGGCGCGUGUGUGAAGAACGCCCUAUGGUUGUAAAGCACUUUCAGUGGGGAGGAAAGGGAGAUUGCUAAUAUCUGUCUCCUGUG
rnacentral:rRNA from 1 species